CGCGUAGGCGGCUCUGUAAGUCCGGAGUGAAAGUCCAGCUUUUAAGGUUGGAAUUGCUUUGGAAACUGUGGGGCUUGAGUGCGGAAGAGGUAAGUGGAAUUCCCAGUGUAGCGGUGAAAUGCGUAGAGAUUGGGAGGAACACCAGUGGCGAAGGCGACUUACUGGGCCGUAACUGACGCUGAUGCGCGAAAGCGUGGGGAGCGAACAG
rnacentral:rRNA from 1 species